AAGUCGUAACAAGGUUUCCGUAGGUGAACCUGCGGAAGGAUCAUUACAGAGUAAACUUGGUGGGCUGUUGCUGGCUCUCAAUUGAGCAUACGUGCACGCCUGUCAUCUUUAUCUUUCCACCAUGUGCACUUUUUGUAGGUCUGAAUUGGACAAUAAGCCCUAGGCCCCUUGUUGGGCUAGUGGAAAGUUGCUGAUGACAUCAGCUCUUUCUGUUACUGGCUGUCUCUUUCCUAGGCUCUACGAUUAUCUAUAUACACCAUGUAUGUCAAUGAACGCAAUCAAUGGGCCUUUAAAAAGCCUAUAAACCUAUAAUACAACUUUCAGCAACGGAUCUCUUGGCUCUC
rnacentral:misc_RNA from 1 species